UAAAAAUUAAUAUUUGUUUUCGACGGAAGUAUAGUGAGAAGGUACUACGAGUAUAUUGUGUUAUUUUAUUCCACAGACAUUGUAAAGUAAAUAUGUGUACAUAGAUAAACGGAAACGUAACUGUCACAUAAAUGAUGAUACCGAAAAUAUAAGUUUUUACUUUUUUUAUACAACGUUUUUUCCUAAGAGGGGAAGAAAGGAAACCCAUUACACUUACGUUGUCUACAAACAACGGUAUGUUUUAAAACUA